UCCGCUACUCGAAACUCGUAAAAUGCAAUAAAAUACAAUGAAAUCCAUAAUCGUAGAUCAAGUUCCAACUAGGUACCAGUCUAUCGCGGUCAUUCAGUCCAAAUGCUCUUGCGUCGAAAAAAGAUAAGAAUUUAAUAUUCAGUAUUGGAUAUCGGUAGUUAAAAGUGACAAUAAAUAUUGGACUUAUUGGUAGGAAUACCUACAUGAGGUCGUGUUGUGAGUGGCUUGCAAAUACAGAUGACCUUACGCUAAACCGAAUCCUAACAAAUGAAUAUAAAGUAGAGCAUCUCUGGCAACCAAAGGUGUGAACACGAAAACUUUCUACCAAGCAACGACGAGAGGCAAAG